CCCUUAGAUGUUCUGGGCUGCACGCGCGCUACACUGAAGCGUUCAACGAGUAUUCACCUUGCCCGGGAGGGUUGGGUAAUCUUUUGAAAACGCUUCGUGAUGGGGAUAGAUUAUUGCAAUUAUUAAUCUUCAACGAGGAAUUCCUAGUAAGCGCGAGUCAUCAGCUCGUGCUGAUUACGUCCCUGCCCUUUGUACACACCGCCCGUCGCACCAACCGAUUGAAUGGUCCGGUGAAAUCUUCGGAUCUGAGAGAUGUCUGAUUAAUUUCGGACGCCUUUUGGAAAAGUUGUUUAAACCUUACCAUUUAGAGGAAGGUGAAGUCGUAACA
rnacentral:rRNA from 1 species